rnacentral:rRNA from 1 species
CCUACGGGAGGCAGCAGUGGGGAAUUUUGGACAAUGGGCGAAAGCCUGAUCCAGCAAUGCCGCGUGAGUGAAGAAGGCCUUCGGGUUGUAAAGCUCUUUUGUCAGGGAAGAAACGGUGAGAGCUAAUAUCUCUUGCUAAUGACGGUACCCGAAGAAUAAGCACCGGCUAACUACGUGCCAGCAGCCGCGGUAAUACGUAGGGUGCAAGCGUUAAUCGGAAUUACUGGGCGUAAAGCGUGCGCAGGCGGUUUUGUAAGUCUGUCGUGAAAUCCCCGGGCUCAACCUGGGAAUUGCGAUGGAGACUGCAAGGCUAGAAUCUGGCAGAGGGGGGUAGAAUUCCACGUGUAGCAGUGAGAUGCGUAGAGAUGUGGAGGAACACCGAUGGCGAAGGCAGCCCCCUGGGUCAAGAUUGACGCUCAUGCACGAAAGCGUGGGGAGCAAACAGGAUUAGAUACCCUGGUAGUCCACGCCCUAAACGAUGUCUACUAGUUGUCGGGUUUUAAUUAACUUGGUAACGCAGCUAACGCGUGAAGUAGACCGCCGUGGGGAGGUACGGUCGGUCGAGAAGUUAAACGUAACGUUAAAGUUAGUAAGUUAGUUACGGCGNGAGACGAGCCGACGGACGACGACGAGGGAGGAGG